ACACAUGCAGUCGAGGGGUAACAGAUCUUCGGAUGCUGACGACCGGCGAACGGGUGAGUAACACGUAUGCAACUUACCCAUAACUCGGGAAUAGCCCAAAGAAAUUUGGAUUAAUACCCAAUAAUACAGGCGUACCGCAUGGUAUUCUUCGUUAAAGAAUAAUCGGUUAUGGAUAGGCAUGCGUUCUAUUAGGUAGUUGGUGAGGUAACGGCUCACCAAGCCGACGAUGGAUAGGGGAACUGAGAGGUUGUCCCCCCACACUGGUACUGAGACACGGACCAGACUCCUACGGGAGGCAGCAGUGAGGAAUAUUGGUCAAUGGACGAAAGUCUGAACCAGCCAAAUCGCGUGAAGGAAGAAGGUAUUAUGUAUCGUAAACUUCUUUUGUAAGAGAGUAAAGUGCACUACGUGUAGUGUAUUGCAAGUACCUUACGAAUAAGCAUCGGCUAAUUCCGUGCCAGCAGCCGCGGUAAUACGGAAGAUGCAAGUGUUAUCCGGAUUUAUUGGGUUUAAAGGGUGCGUAGGUGGUCUAAUAAGUCAGUGGUGAAAUCUCUUUGCUUAACAAGGAAAUUGCCAUUGAAACUGUUAGACUUGAGAAUGGACGAGGUAGGCGGAAUUCGUAGUGUAGCGGUGAAAUGCAUAGAUAUUACGAAGAACUCCAAUAGUGUAGACUGCUUACCAGACCAUAUCUGACACUAAGGCACGAAAGUGUGGGUAUCAAACAGGAUUAGAUACCCUGGUAGUCCACACAGUAAACGAUGAAUACUAACUGUUUGCGAUAUACAGCAAGUGGUCGAGCGAAAGCGUUAAGUAUUCCACCUGGGAAGUAUGCCGGCAACGGUGAAACUCAAAGGAAUUGACGGGGGCCCGCACAAGUGGAGGAACAUGUGGUUUAUUCGAUAAUACGCGAGGAACCUUACCCGGGCUCGAACGAUAUUUGAAUACAUCCGAAAAGAUGUAGCUAGCAAUAGCAAAUACCGAGGUGCUGCAUGGUUGUCGUCAGCUCGUGCCGUGAGUGUCG
rnacentral:rRNA from 1 species